CCCAGACGCAGCUGGCCAGGGGAGGAGGUUACAUGGAUUCACCAACUGGACUCAAAAGAGAAAGUCCCUCUGGGAAUCCUCUGCUUUUAACCCCUGUGUGUUCUCAGAGGCGUAUCCAGGUCCCCAGUGGCCACACCAGAUGCCAAUUUCAAAUCUGGCCACUGAUUGGUUUGACCACAACUUUCCUAGAAGCUCACUUCCUGGUCGAACCACAACACUGGUAAACUGGGGUGGACACAGAAUUAUGUCUCUCUAUUACACUACCAGAAAAGAUUUCAGUGGUGAGAGCUACAAAUAUUAGAAAUACUAAUGAUGGGUAGAACUUUAUACCACUGAGCUAUUUAAUGAGUAAAUUUCAAAUGGUAACAGUGAGGAAAGGGACGGAUAACCCAGUGCAUAGGUUGUUCGGAUGGGAGCUCACACCACUGGCCAAAUCCUGACUGCUCAAACUAUGCCAGUAACCAGUGGCAACUGCAUCAGUGUCAGCUCAGCCUGUUCCAGCUGUAAGACUGUGUAACUCACCUUAUAGUCCUUCAUUAGGGCUUUAAUGACUCAUAAAUCUUGUGCCAGAAUCCUAAAGCCUGUUUCAUCCUUCUCUCAACUAAGAUUUCCACUGUGACCUUUGACAAGAUAUUUCAUUUUGGCCCUACAACAUAUCCUCAUCUACAAAAAUGGUGAAUAUAAUCUUAUUUUUUAAGUUCUGUGAAGGGCAUACCCAAGACAGAGCAAAGUACUCAGAAGUCACCAUGCUACCAUCUGGACAAAUUAGGCAGGAAAAGCAGCUAAACACAAGGCAACUAAACAAGGUCUAGACAAGCCUAAAAAGCUCCUGGAAUCCCAUGCAUUUUAUACCAAUGUCCUUGUGGGAUUGAAGACAGAAAUUGAGUGGGAAAUGGUUUAAAAUACCACAUUUUCAGCCACAAUUCAUAUAUUCUAAGCUAUAAAUGGGGGGGACAUCCAGGUCUUCCAGACGAGCUGGUGUCACCUGGGACAGACUGCAUGGACACAAGAGAGAAUGUGGAAGGUUCACUUCACUGGAGAACUGCAAUACCAUUGAUGUAGGGGUACAGCCCAAACUUUUUCUCUGUCUCCUCAUUAAACAAAUUGUUAGGAGCUGAUCACCAAACCACAGAUAUGCUGUUAAACUCUAAAUGCUUUUAACAUGGACUCUCCUUCCAGUUCCAAUGCAGGAGCCACUCUUUCCUUCUUUUUUGUAGUAGUUACUAUCUAUUGAACAUUUUAAAUUGUUUUCAAUAAUGCAGUUACUUAUCUAUUCGCCUGCAAAACAACAACAACAACAACAAAACAAACAAAGAAACAAACACAAAAACAAAGAAACAAACAAACAC